rnacentral:rRNA from 1 species
AUUGAACGCUGGCGGCAGGCCUAACACAUGCAAGUCGAGCGGCAGCGGGAAAGUAGCUUGCUACUUUUGCUGGCGAGCGGCGGACGGGUGAGUAAUGCCUGGGAAAUUGCCCAGUCGAGGGGGAUAACAGUUGGAAACGACUGCUAAUACCGCAUACGCCCUACGGGGGAAAGCAGGGGACCUUCGGGCCUUGCGCGAUUGGAUAUGCCCAGGUGGGAUUAGCUAGUUGGUGAGGUAAUGGCUCACCAAGGCGACGAUCCCUAGCUGGUCUGAGAGGAUGAUCAGCCACACUGGAACUGAGACACGGUCCAGACUCCUACGGGAGGCAGCAGUGGGGAAUAUUGCACAAUGGGGGAAACCCUGAUGCAGCCAUGCCGCGUGUGUGAAGAAGGCCUUCGGGUUGUAAAGCACUUUCAGCGAGGAGGAAAGGUUGUUGGCUAAUAUCCAACAGCUGUGACGUUACUCGCAGAAGAAGCACCGGCUAACUCCGUGCCAGCCGCCGCGGUAAAAC